GCCUCGCGCCGCUGACGGGCCGCUGACGCUCUUGGCUGGCGAGGCCGUACCCGCUGCGGAGCUGCGCGCUGGGCGGCGGCGGCGGUGGCGGAGGCUACAAUGGGGCUUCUGUGUGUGUGUGUGUGUGCCCCUGCCGCCGCCGCCGCCGCCGCCUCCCGCGGGGACCCGGGGAGGGAAACGAAGAGAGAAGGGGAAUCCCGGCCUACUUCCUUUUCCGGAUGGGGGCGACCUCUUUGUGCGAACCAGGGAGCGUGACCCGCACAUCUGGCGCACAUCUGGGGAUGCGGCUGCGAGAGGGAGCGCGGCGGCGGCGGCGGAGGAAGAGGAGACGACCGAGCAUCGGGGCGGGUGGGAGGCCCGGGCAGGUUGUCUGAGCCCCCCUGCAGGAGGAGGGGCUUGCGAGGACUUUAGAGACUCUCCUGACGCUGAGACCGGCUCUGAACAAUCCUGUUGAGUCGGCAGGAGGGGGAGCUUUUUUGGUGCCUGCACACAUGGCAGGCAGGCAGGGGACUUGCUGUGCCUUCUAGGAAAUUGCAAUCGAUUUAUAAAGCAGUUUCGCUAAUUGGGAGUUCAAAAUUAAACUUUAAUAAAGCGUUUGUCUCGUCUUCUCUAAUUGUGAAA
ensembl:lncRNA